GAUCUGUGAUGAAUAGUAAAAGGUCUGAUUACUCUAAAGACUUGCACUUCCACGACCUUUCUUCCCAGCAGUUUCUCACCAGUCGCAGCACAGUAAUGGUGUGGCUGGCAGUGUUUGCUGGCACCUUGUGAUGUGUGCGGUUCAUGCUAACCUGAACUAUCAGAGCCAUGGCUGGGAUCAGCAUCCAACAGUCAUACUUGAAGGAGUUUGAGGUCUUGGAUUGUUCUAACUUAGACAUGUGAUCUGACUUUCUGCUGAGACC
rnacentral:snoRNA from 1 species